rnacentral:lncRNA from 1 species
AUUUUAACCACCUUUUCUUAAUGAAACCUGGAUUUCAAGCACUAUUUCCUAGUAGAAAUUGAAUAAUGUAGUAAAGAAAUCGACUACUUCAUUUCUAAAUUUAUAACUCAAAUCCAGGAGCAGGUUUAGUCACACUGAGUCUGAAUUGCCAGCAGAUAGUUUUAAUGAAAUGUUCACAAAUGACUAUAUUGCUACGUAACAAGAAUAAUAAAUUCUGCUGUUUACACUUCCAAGAAAUUAAAGGGGAUGAAAGAUACAUUGGUCCCUGCAGUGGGAAGUUUCCUUGACAAUGCAAUUAUUGAUUCCAGGCACAUGACAGAAUUGCUCUGUUGAAGUUUUGCAAGGUCAAAUGACUCACUUUGUCUAAUGGAACGGGAACGAACAAUUUUUUUGUGUCACGUUUGAACAGAUACCUUUGAGAAGUUUAUGAUUCUCCAAGUUCUCUUUCUCCUACUGUGGCACCUACUGACAAGAUAAAUGUGUAGAGGUUCCUGAGUCUAGGGGCACUGGAACCAGCUGACUGAUCUAUGGAAGUUCCCUUGGUCUCCAUUUGUUUAGAAAAGGGACUGGUCAAAGGCUGACGUUUGCUUUUGGUGACAUUGCAUUAAUUGUCUCCCAUGAGACUGCUAGGGUGCUGAAGGGAUGAAGAAACUGAGGCCCACAGAAGGUGGGUGAUACCUGCAAAAUCACAAGCUUUCAUGGUGAAAGAAGAGGGCAAAACUCAACCCGUCUCUUUAGACUUGGGAAGAAUAUGAAAGGACCAGGAGGGACACCUUUCCUAAUAACCUAGCUGAUGGUUCACUUAUUGUAAGCACAUUCUCAAACAAGGUGACAAUUAGGUUCAAAUAUCGUCUUUGAAACACAAAGUAGAUCUUACCCUUUUUAUCCUCUUAUUGCUAGUUUAGCUUCUACUGUUAGAAAGUUGAUUCUUAAUGUAAUAUUUGUCUAAGGGUCUGUUAUAGGAGUCCUAAACAGAUACAUCAGCCAUUUUAUGCUCCUAAAUGCAAGCCAGGAAAGAGCUAGAGAUAAAAGCAAAGAUGUUAAUUUAUGUAAAGUACUUAGCAUGGUUCCUGGCAAGAAUAACAAGUCAAUAAAUGAUAUUAAUAAUAAUACUAAUACUGUAAAUAAUACCUAACAAGGCUAUUUUUCUUAUUAUUUUUAAAAUUCAUACAGUCUCUAAAAUCUUCAGUUACUUGUUCCUCUCACAGUGUUCCAUACUACACCCUGGAGACACUGAUCAAGCAGAGAACUGUGUUUACUUGAUUGUCUGAAACAGCAGGCCGAUAUAGCAGUUGCAAGCAUCUUGAGCAAUUCUAUUCCAUAUAGAGACAUAAGAAACCGAGAGAAAGAGACACAAUACAU